rnacentral:rRNA from 1 species
AGCGAACGCUGGCGGCAGGCCUAACACAUGCAAGUCGAACGGGCUCUUCGGGGCUAGUGGCGGACGGGUGAGUAACACGUGGGAACGUGCCUUUAGGUUCGGAAUAAGCCCGGGAAACUGGGUCUAAUACCGAAUGUGCCCUUCGGGGGAAAGAUUUAUCGCCUUUAGAGCGGCCCGCGUCUGAUUAGCUAGUUGGUGGGGUAAUGGCCCACCAAGGCUACGAUCAGUAGCUGGUCUGAGAGGAUGACCAGCCACAUUGGGACUGAGACACGGCCCAAACUCCUACGGGAGGCAGCAGUGGGGAAUCUUGCGCAAUGGGCGAAAGCCUGACGCAGCCAUGCCGCGUGGAUGAUGAAGGUCUUAGGAUUGUAAAAUUCUUUUACCAGGGACGAUAAUGACGGUACCUGGAGAAAAAGCCCCGGCUAACUUCGUGCCAGCCGCCGCGGUAAAAC